CCAUGACACCCGCGUUAUUUUUGUUGUUGGUGGUGAUGCUAGCUUUAGCAAAGAAUAUCCUAUGAGCUGGCGAUAGCUUGCUCCAAUAACGUUAAACACUCAUUAAAAAAAUAUAUAUAUGUAUGUAUAUAUAUACAUAUAUAUAUAUAUAGCGAGAGAAACGUAAUUAAUAGUGAACUUCUGGGCUACCUAAUAUGCUCAUUUAGUAAACCAAGUAUUAUUUUAUGAGGGAAUGUGGAAAUUCUAUGAUGCUAUUUGUGCCUUUUUUAAUAAUCUGGCCACCCUCGUACCAGUAGCUAGCUUAGUUUUUUUGGACGUAGCUUAGCUGCAGCCGUUAAGAAACAGCGUCUCUAUCCAGAGUAUCUGCGGGCUAAUAUUAGAGGAAAUGUCAGAGCUCCAUCUGAACCGUUCCCUGAGCGUCCUGGAAGUGGAGGCGAGGAGGAGAGGAGAGGGUUUGAGCAUAUAAAACAGAGGCAAAGGAGAAUGAUUUCACGAUACAACCGGAGACCUGUAUCGCACAAACUCGAGAUUCGUGGGUUGUCUCGAAGCAGCCUUGACCACCAUCCUCUUCCAGAAGAAGCAGACGACAACCAAACCCCUCCGUGCUACCUCCAUGACCUGCAGGAAGCUGCUUCUGCGCACAACAGCUCAGAGACAUCUGCUGCUUCAGGCCACUCUCAGUGCCCCACUGUCAUCUCAGUAGACUCCAGCCAGUCCUGGUUAGGUAUUCACAGCUCCACGGGUACUGGCAUCUCCACCGAGAGGAGCUCUGUUUUCUCCUGGGGCUACGAUGAGUUUGACAAGGCGGCAUCACGGCAGGUGCAGCAAAUGUUUGAGGAGAUCGACAAAGAUCUUUAUGAGGGAAGAGGCAGUGGGGGAGGGAUACUCCAGGGGCUCCAGGAUGAAUGUCAGCAGUGGGCCACACGUUUCCCUCAUCUUCGUAUCCUGGGGACUCAGCUGCUGUGUCCCAGUGAUGAAGGCUUCCAGUGGUAUACUACCUCAGGGAAAGGCAGCGCUUCCAGCAGGCUGUCAGCGGGCAAAGAAAGCAGCGUUAAACCCCAGGAGAAAGACAGGGAAGGAACAGAGUUGAAUGUGCAGGGCCGGAGAGCACAUCUGAUCAGAUCCAAUUCACCAGACUUGGACGCUCAGCCUGGUACCUCCAGCGGCAUUGGCAGCCAUAACAAGAAUAGAGUGACUGAACUAGAGGGUCAGAUGGAGGAAUAUCUUGCUUUUGAUAGCACAGACUUGGAGGAUGACCAGUGGGAACAGGAUUGCUCCGAGUCGAGUCGGAGGCAUAAAUGUCUGCCCCCAGUCUCACCAUACCGGUGUCGCCGCCACGCUGUUCUCGAUCUGCUGUUUGAUGAUGUGUGGUGGCAGCUCAUUGGCUGCAUGAAAGAGCUGGUUCAACGCCACUGGGAAUGCUGCACUUCACAUGAUGAAAAUAUUUCUGGGAACUUGAGCCCCGUGCAGCAAGAUUUCCAGAAUCCCUUUAUGCUGCUCUCCACGCUGCCCACGAUGCUGCCCAAACUUGGCCAGAGCCGGGUGCCCCCACUCACAGCUGGCAUGCAGUUCCAGAACACAAAGUCAAGGGGCUCAAAGCACAAGUCCAGACGGAAAUCCAAAAAGCAGAAAAGGCCUUCCAGUGCUGGAAGAGUCCCUGUAGGAGCAGCCGCGACUCAGCACAACCUGAACGACCUCAUCGUGAUCCACAGCAUCCCCCUUCAGCAGAGGAACCUGGGUGUGCCGGAUAGAAGCCAGGAGCCAGAAGAGCGUGCGUCUCACAGACCGAGAUCUAGCGCGGUCCCCUCCAACAAACCUCGCCCUCGCCGACCCCUGGAGCAGAGCUCUUCCUCGCUGUCCCGCCCAGCACAAUCGGCCCGACGCAGGAACCCUCCUCCCCGAACCCUCCUGCCUCUUGUUCCCAAUCCGAGUCAGUCGAGCGCAGUGGGAUCCAUGGAUGAGGUCAUCCGCGGGACACGUCUACCCACAGCCAGUGACCAACUGAACUCUCCACCAUUGCCUCUAAGCAGAAACACACUCCUUCCGCCCAUUAGCACCGGAGACCCAGACUCAUCUUACUCAGGGCAGCCAUCUAAAACUGCACAGCGCCAGAAGGGCCCAUCUAGCCGUGCCCACAGUGCUAUAAAUGACAAAGCUGGCAGCUCAGUUCCGAGGGAUCGCCACCACCUACUGGACGUUUUCUCUCGCCCCAACACAACCCACACUUACAGGAUACUCCAUACCGUCGAUCCUUCACAGUAUUGGACAACAUUGGGCAGGGGCGGCCAGGCAGAGCCUCUGUGGGCACAGACUCCCUUGGAAUCGGUGUGACGGGCAUCAGUCUUGGCAUCAGCAGCUCGUCUUUUUUGGACUCAUUUUCCCACCACCCCUUGGGGCACUCGCCCAUCAAAGACGAAGAGGAGCCGGACCCGCAAGCCCCUGUCCCAGCUCCACUGGUGCCUGCGUCAGUCCCGUCUCGGUCUCACACCCGAGGAGGCAUCUCAUCCAGAGGCAGCAGACCUGGCUUGUAGUUUGCCUCUAAACUCCAGACUUUUGAGCCACUCAUCCUUAUUAAAGUGCAACAAAGUGCAAUGCUCUGCAGCAUCCGUGCCCACUGAACUGUUUUGUUUUACAGAAGUAGCAGGUUCUUUUUUUCAUAUUGCGCUGCUUUUGUAAUAUUUUUGUUAAAACCCUAUUUUUGUAUUUCAAAAAUCAGCUUAUGAGGCUGCCAAACAGAAAUAAUUAUUAACAAUAACUCCAUCUUCAUGUACAGUAUGAGCUGCAUAUUUAGACCUUAGUUCAUGUAUGAUGUAAAUAUGUAUAUAUCUAUUUAUAUGUGAACGUACUGUAUAUUAUCCUCUGUGCUGCGUUGUUGUACCAGGAACCCACUAUGCAGGGAAUAACACAUUCAUCCCGACAGGAUUACAGAGGAUAAAAAGCACUUUUUUUCCCUCUCUGAAGCUAAAUCAGAGAGUUUGGUACUGUAUCUUUUAUAGGGACACGACAAGCAUUUAUCCAUAGCCUCUUUGCAUAUCAUCGUACACAGGAAGGAAAACAAAAAGACGAGCUUAUUUUAAAUCACGAGAGGGGCUGUGGGUUUUAAACUGCAUGACACGACAGCAAAAGGAACAUAAGAGGCAGUGAUAUUAAACUUUAUUUGUAAAUAGCUUGUCACGUAUGUACAAAACAUUUUACGGGAUGUAACGUUUUUAAAUCUAAGCUAAGCCAAGCGGGGGUGCUUUGACAGGUAACAUCAGGGUUACUGCAAAAAGGUAAAUUUAUAUGUAUUCAGGAUCAUUUAUCAGACAGCCAUGCCACAAAGCUUGAAAAAAAAAAAAAGUCA